GGUGAACGUUGGCGGCGUGGAUUAGGCAUGCAAGUCGAGCGAGAACCGUAGCAAUACGGGGACAGCGGCGAAAGGGACAGUAAUGUGUAGGUACCUACCUCCGGGCUCGGGAUAGCUGCGGGAAACUGCAGGUAAUACCGAAUAACGUCUCCGGACCAAAGGUGUGAUUCCACCUGGAGAGGGGCCUGCAUCCUAUUCGCUUGUUGGCGGGGUAACGGCCCACCAAGGCGACGAUGGGUAGCGGGUGUGAGAGCACGACCCGCGUCAUUGGGACUGAGACACUGCCCAGACACCUACGGGUGGCUGCAGUCGUGAAUCUUCGGCAAUGGGCGCGAGCCUGACCGAGCGACGCCGCGUGCGGGAUGAAGGCCUUCGGGUUGUAAACCGCUGUCGUAGAGGAGGAAAUGCAGGGGGGUUCUCCCCUCUGUUUGACCUAUUCUAGGAGGAAGUACGGGCUAAGUUCGUGCCAGCAGCCGCCGUAA
rnacentral:rRNA from 1 species